AUCUAAUAGGCCUCUUAGAAUUCAAAUAUAACAACCAUGAAAUCAUGCAUAGAAGAAUAUUCAAUACAUAAGAUAUGAAUGAGAAAAUGAAAUUUAUUUAAAUCUCACAGUUUGAAUUGUUCCUAGGCUUCAAUAUCCUUCGACCAAGAGAUGAAGUUUAGUAAUGCAUCAAUAAUCCUUAAGCAAAAAAAGAGAAAAGUUUUUGGUCCGUUCUUCGCCUCCAAAUAUAUGUAGAACAUAAGAUUUUUAGGUCAAAAAGGAGGUUUUCCUCGUUUUGGCAUCUUUAGGUAUAUAUAUGAUGUCAAAAAAUGUUGUUUCCAUGUAAAAUUUCAUAAGACUAAGGAAACUGGCCCGUCACAGAAAUUUUGGCCCAUGCUCGCGCGCCAUAUAUUUCAUUGUGCAUGCCACUUUGUUGUUUUGCUCUCAGUAUGCAAGAAUAAGGUCUCGUGGGCGCCACUUUAAGCCCCUGCGCACGCAGUAUAAAAUAAUUUCAAUUGUUACACUUUGAUCCCUGAACUUUCAUCUUCUCUUUUUUUGCUUUUUUCCCCUUGUUUUACUUCUUCCAACACUCCGAGUCUUCUGUCAAUUGACCUUCAAAUCUUUCACUCAUUCGUUUCGCCUUCCGGUUCAACUUUUGGAUAAUUAUAUUUUAGUCCUUCAACUUUUGAUUUAUUUCGCUUUAAUCAUUUUUUGCUCUUUUCUUCUAAUUCAUGCCAUCAUUAUCCAUUUGUCACCUAAAUCACAAUAUAAGGGUACUCAGUACAUUUAGGCAUUAAUUAAUCACAAAAGCAUAAGGUAGAGGAAUGAAAAAUAUGACAUUUUACAAUCCUAUCAAUAUAUGUCUAGAACAUGCACUAUCAAGCUACCACAUGGAGUUAUUUUGAACUUUAAGUGCAACAUGGGCAACAUAGAAGUUCAGUUUUUCAUUACAUCUAGGGAGAUCACUUUUUUAACCCAAACUUUCUUAAAAGCGGAGGUAAUCCUAGUCAAUCGUGUCAUCAUCUCAAUUAAGUGACAACAUGAUUUGUAAGGAAGUUAACCUAGCUAGAGAUAUCUUGAAUUUUCAUCAUAUUCAAAAGUUUAUGACACCUAGGCCUUGUGUGUCCCAGAA
rnacentral:lncRNA from 1 species